rnacentral:rRNA from 1 species
AUACGGAGGGUGCGAGCGUUAUCCGGAUUUAUUAGGUUUAAAGGGUGUGUAGGCGGGAGCCUAAGUCAGUAGUGAAAUCUCACAGCUUAACUGUGAAACUGCCAUUGAAACUGGGUUUCUUGAGUAUAGUUGAGGUAGGCGGAAUGUGUAAUGUAGCGGUGAAAUGCAUAGAUAUUACACAGAACACCGAUUGCGAAGGCAGCUUACUAAGCUAUUACUGACGCUGAUGCACGAAAGCGUGGGUAGCGAACAGGAUUAGAAACCCGGGUAGUCC